AGCAGCCGCGGUAAUUCCAGCUCCAAUAGCGUAUAUUAAAGUUGUUGCAGUUAAAAAGCUCGUAGUUGAAUUUCGGGAUCAAUACGUCGGUCGUGCUUCGGUACGUACUGGCGUCAUUGGUUUCUCCCUUCUGACGAACCAUGAUGUCAUUAACUUGGUGUCAUGGGAAAUCAGGACUGUUACUUUGAAAAAAUUAGAGUGUUUAAAGCAAGCUAACGCUUGAAUACAUUAGCAUGGAAUAAUGAAAUAGGACGUUCGAUCCUAUUUUGUUGGUUUCUAGGAUUGACGUAAUGAUUAAUAGGGAUAGUUGGGGGCAUUAGUAUUCAAUUGUCAGAGGUGAAAUUCUUGGAUUUAUUGAAGACUAACUACUGCGAAAGCAUUUGCCAAGGAUGUUUUCAUUAAUCAAGAACGAAAGUUAGGGGAUCGAAGACGAUCAGAUACCGUCGUAGU
rnacentral:rRNA from 1 species